GUAGGUGGCAAGCGUUAUCCGGAAUUAUUGGGCGUAAAGCGCGCGCAGGCGGUUUCUUAAGUCUGAUGUGAAAGCCCACGGCUCAACCGUGGAGGGUCAUUGGAAACUGGGGAACUUGAGUGCAGAAGAGAAAAGCGGAAUUCCACGUGUAGCGGUGAAAUGCGUAGAGAUGUGGAGGAACACCAGUGGCGAAGGCGGCUUUUUUGGUCUGUAACUGACGCUGAGGCGCGAAAGCGUGGGGAGCAAACAGGGAUUAGAUACCCUGGUAGUCCACGCCGUAAACGAUGAGUGCUAAGUGUUAGAGGGUUUUCCGCCCCUUUAGUGCUGCAGCUAACGCAUUAAGCACUCCGCCCUGGGAGUACGGUCGCAAGACUG
rnacentral:rRNA from 1 species